rfam:Pyrococcus furiosus RNase P RNA (rnpB) gene, partial sequence.
UAGGCGAGGGGGCUGGGGGCUGCCGGGCUUUAUGCCCGAGGAAGUUCCGCCCACCGCACCGGGGCCGCGGUGCCGUAAGGCACCUCCCGAGAGGGAGGGCAACGGCGCAGAAACGACACGUCCUCCGAGGGAUGGGAAUGAAAGCGGUGAAGGGGGCUGGUGACAGCUCCCGAGCUAACCCGCAGACGACCUCGGGGGGAUCGGUGAAACGGCCGUCCCGCGGGGUGCAAGGCCGAAAGAGGGACGAUGAGUUCCCGGUGUGAGUCCCGUGGUUGGCCGCUUAGUCGAAUGCUCCCUUAAUACAGAAGGCGGGCUAUAGCCCCCUCGCCUA